UGCGUAGGCGGUUUACUAAGUCAGAUGUGAAAGCCCCGGGCUUAACCUGGGAACUGCAUUUGAUACUGGUAGGCUAGAGUAUGAUAGAGGGGGGUAGAAUUCCCGGUGUAGCGGUGAAAUGCGUAGAUAUCAGGAGGAAUACCAGUGGCGAAGGCGGCCCCCUGGAUCAAUACUGACGCUGAGGUACGAAAGCGUGGGUAGCGAACA
rnacentral:rRNA from 1 species